rnacentral:rRNA from 1 species
GAUGAACGCUAGCUACAGGCUUAACACAUGCAAGUCGAGGGGUAACGAGAGGAAAGCUUGCUUUCCUUGUCGACGACCGGCGCACGGGUGAGUAACGCGUAUCCAACCUGCCCCCAACUAGGGAAUAACCUUGCGAAAGUAAGACUAAUACCCUAUAAUUUCCUCAGAUGACAUCUGACGAGGAAUAAAGAUUUAUCGGUUGUGGAUGGGGAUGCGUCUGAUUAGCUUGUUGGCGGGGUAACGGCCCACCAAGGCAACGAUCAGUAGGGGUUCUGAGAGGAAGGUCCCCCACAUUGGAACUGAGACACGGCCCAAACUCCUACGGGAGGCAGCAGUGAGGAAUAUUGGUCAAUGGGCGGAAGCCUGAACCAGCCAAGUAGCGUGCAGGAUGACGGCCCUAUGGGUUGUAAACUGCUUUUAUACAGGAAUAAAGUUAGCCACGUGUGGUUAUUUGUAGGUACUGUAUGAAUAAGGACCGGCCAAUUCCGUGCCAGCCGCCGCCGUAA